rnacentral:rRNA from 1 species
GCCUUUAGGUUCGGAAUAACUCAGGGAAACUUGUGCUAAUACCGAAUGUGCCCUUCGGGGGAAAGAUUUAUCGCCUUUAGAGCGGCCCGCGUCUGAUUAGCUAGUUGGUGGGGUAAUGGCCCACCAAGGCUACGAUCAGUAGCUGGUCUGAGAGGAUGACCAGCCACAUUGGGACUGAGACACGGCCCAAACUCCUACGGGAGGCAGCAGUGGGGAAUCUUGCGCAAUGGGCGAAAGCCUGACGCAGCCAUGCCGCGUGGAUGAUGAAGGUCUUAGGAUUGUAAAAUCCUUUCACCGGUGAAGAUAAUGACUGUAGCCGGAGAAGAAGCCCCGGCUAACUUCGUGCCAGCAGCCGCGGUAAUACGAAGGGGGCUAGCGUUGCUCGGAAUUACUGGGCGUAAAGGGAGCGUAGGCGGACAUUUAAGUCAGGGGUGAAAUCCCAGAGCUCAACUCUGGAACUGCCUUUGAUACUGGAUGUCUUGAGUGUGAGAGAGGUAAGUGGAACUCCGAGUGUAGAGGUGAAAUUCGUAGAUAUUCGGAAGAACACCAGUGGCGGAGGCGACUUACUGGCUCAUUACUGACGCUGAGGCUCGAAAGCGUGGGGAGCAAACAGGAUUAGAUACCCUGGUAGUCCACGCCGUAAACGAUGAUUGCUAGUUGUC